rnacentral:rRNA from 1 species
GAUGAACGCUGGCGGCGUGCCUAAUACAUGCAAGUCGAGCGGACGGACGAGAAGCUUGCUUCUCUGAUGUUAGCGGCGGACGGGUGAGUCACACGUGGAUAACCUCUCUAUAAGACUUAAGUAACUUCGAGAGACCGGAACUAAUACCAGAUAAUAUUUUUAACCGCAUGUUUCAAAAGUAAAUUCCGGUCUUGCUGUCCCUUAUAGCUAGAUCCGCGCUGCAUUAGCUAGUUGCUAAGGAAACGGCUUACCAAGGCAACGAUGCAUAGCCGACCUGAGAGAGUGAUCGGCCACAUGGGAACUGAGACACGGUCCAUACGCCUACGGGAGGCCGCAGUAGGGUAUCUUCCGCAAUGGGCGAGAGCCUGACGGAGCAACGGCGCGUGAGUGAUGAAGGUCUUCGGAGCGUAAAACUCUGUUAUUAGGGAAGAACAUAUGUGUAAGUAACUGUGCACAUCUUGACGGUACCUAAUCAGAAAGCCACGGCUAACUACGUG